UACGGAGGGUGCUAGCGUUGUUCGGAAUUACUGGGCGUAAAGCGCGCGUAGGCGGAUCUGCAAGUCGGGAGUGAAAGCCCGAGGCUCAACCUCGGAACUGCCUUCGAUACUGAGGGUCUUGAGUCCGGGAGAGGUGAGUGGAAUUCCUAGUGUAGAGGUGAAAUUCGUAGAUAUUAGGAAGAACACCAGUGGCGAAGGCGGCUCACUGGCCCGGUACUGACGGUGAGGUGUGAAAGCGUGGGGAGCAAAUAUG
rnacentral:rRNA from 1 species